UGUCAGUGCGUGCUCCGAGUUGUGUUUGAACCCCGUUUAAGCGUGCGUGCUCCGAGUCAUGUGAUCAUCGUUUUGCUAACUAGACAAGCGUCCCGGGGACAAAUGGGGAGCUGUCCCGGGGCACUCAGUUCUCCCCGCCGUACACACAUUGGCGCUAUAAUAGCAUUGGCGAAUUCUCCGAAUUUCGGAGAAGAGCUUUUCCGAGGAUGAUGUUGGUGCAACUUGGUGCACGUAGCCGGGCCAGUAGCUUCGCCUCAAGGUAUCGGGAAGACGAGGAACCAUCCAAGCCGACCCAGUUCAGCAGCGGAGGGAUAUAUAUGAAAAGCAUCUCGCACCGGACAACCAAUCAGUUGGGGACGAAAUGCGGCGCCAAGAGGUCAUGGUUUCCAGCUCCUGAGAUGAACAUUCUACAACAUAAUUUAGCUGAGAUGACUAUCACACUGACCGGUUGGCGCCUUGGUUCACGUAGGACACCAACAGCUGGUCAACAACGAUAACACAUUUAGGGUAGAAGUCAGAUCAAACAGCCGUGGUCUCCAUGGCUCCAGCGACUGCAUUACUGAUGGGAGGACUUAACCGACAAUAACCAUACAGGAUAAGAGCAACAACGACGAGGUGUUCCCGACACCCGUACCCGUGUCCAUCAGGACGACGCAGUCCCACCACAACGUGCACGGAGACUCCUACCACGGCAGGGAAAGUCAGUCGAGUCCUUCCCCUGCAUGCUGGUGAGACGAGCUGCAUCGCUGAAGGAACCGGAAAAGACGUCCCUGCGCCUUAUUAAGUCGGGAAGUAGGAGAGCCACACAUCACCCAGAACAGCGCCGUCGACAGGAGGAAUGCAACGAGAGGGGAGUACCAGUAGCAGAUCUAGAACAGCCAAUCGAUUGCGCUGCUACAACCAUAGAAAAUCUAAAACUAGUUAGAGAAUUCACGGACUCGUUUUGAGUUGAUUUAUACUAUGGCUAUGUAUCUAAGUGUAUAUAUUGUAGUAGUUGAUUUUACAUGUACAUCUAAGAACCGUACAUAAGGUUAACCUCAGCGACGACGGACCGAAUCGAACCGGAGAUGGAUGUACUAAUGGAGAAAACCCCCAUAGGAAUAUGCAGUACAAUUAUUAUGUAUCAAGCUGUGACCGAAGUUAGCUGAGUCAGCAUUAUGUAGUAACAUCAAACUACUUUAACAGUCUCCCGUGCCAAGUGUACGGAAAACCUUG